rnacentral:rRNA from 1 species
AGUUUGAUCCUGGCUCAGGACGAACGCUGGCGGCGUGCCUAACACAUGCAAGUUGAGCGGAGAUAUGGAGAGCUUGCUCUUUAUAUUUUAGCAGCGAACGGGUGAGUAACACGUAGAUAAUUUGUCCUAUAUUGGGGGACAGGCCGAUGAAAAUUGGAUUAAUACCGCAUACAGCUAUUUAACCGCAUGGGGGAAUAGUGAAAGGGGAACUUGAUAGUAGGGGGAUCUGCGGCACAUUAGCUAGUAGGUGAGGUAAGAGCUCACCUAGGCGACGAUGUGUAGCCGGUCUGAGAGGAUGAACGGCCACAAUGGAACUGAGACACGGUCCAUA